GGACUUACAUCUCCAUGGCAAGACCUACCACCCCAAUCAUGCAGGAGCAUGCUUCAGUGGGACGGUGCGGGUAUGAAGACACUUGGUGGGAAGAGCUACUGCAUCUGCAAAUUGGGAAUUACCACUGCCUAGCCUCCAUAAAAAUCUCUCACCUAGUAUGGUUUGCUGGCUAGGACCUUCUCAGUAGUGACUCUAGCUGCUGACGCUUGAAGGAAAAUAGCAGUCCUGUGCUCAUGAGGAAAGGCUGAUCUGUGCAUGAGAUGGAAUUAUAUGUAGGCAAAAUGAUGACACAUAUUUUAAAAAAAGUAUUUCUGAGUAUUACUGAACUGAUGUAGUUAAAGCAGCAAUUUUUUUCCAGUUGCCUUGCUUUCUGUUGGUGACUUCAGACAUGCUUGCUCAGCCCUGAAAUAGUGACUUGUCAUUUAUUCAAGGCUAAUAUAAUUAAUUCUCAGUCCUCCACUCUUGCUCUAGCUAGAAAAUAUAGGGAAUCUUCAGUAAAUCUUAAAAACAGGCAAAUAGUGAAGGUCCAGGGGAGAUCAUGUGAUCCAACAAAGUUUAAUGAAUGUAACUUCUAUGAGACUUGGCUGUGCUGCUCCGUGGUCUGAAACGUGUUUAUGUAAUCACACACAGACGUACUGAAUCGCAUUAGAUAGGGAAGUAGUCUUCACAUCCUUCAGUCUGGAAAAACGUCUGUUUCCAGAACAAACCACAUUAAGUUCCAUGUGCUCAAUUUUGUGAAUUGAUUCAAAUCAUAAGUAUGCUUAACAUGUACACACAUUGAUAUAUUUAUAUUUAAUUCUCAGAGUUCAUACAGUUUCAACUGAGUGUCCGCAAGAUUAGUCAUACAGACCCAGAAAAGUUAGACAUCUAAUUCCUCUUCAGCCUGGGCCUGGAAAGUACCUCUGAUGUUUUUAAUUCAAAAAUAAGAAUUCAGGGAAUUUACAGUUAAGAUGUCUCUUCACUCUGUCACUUCUCUAUGCAGCAUACUGUGGUGGUCUUUUAACAAUGGAUUAUUUAAUUUUGGAUUAGAAAUGUGCUGAAUCUUUCAGUGCAGUGGAUGCUUUGAAGGAAGUGUUAGAUGAGACCACAAUUAAUAGUAUCUUAGUGGGGGGGGGGGAAGGCAAGCUUCAGCAUUAUCUGAGAUAGGAAUAAUUAGAGAACUUGAAAAAUAUUGUCAGUGUACACUUUUUAUUGAUCAGCUUUUAAGUAUGUUUUAAUUUCCUAAAACACCACCAUCCAUAGUGCAUUGCUAAAGCAUGUGUUGCAAUGUGAAGAACAGCUCCAGCAAUGCACGGGGAAAAAAAAAGUGCUCUCUGGAGUUUGACUUUUUGCUCAUUUGCUAUAUACGGUCUAUCCAAAGUCCAGUGCUCAUGUGGAGGGGAUCUGUUCAGAACAGGAUGCAGAGGAAUCUGAGCAAAUAACGACAUCACCCACAGUCGGAAAACACGCUGUUCUCCGGAGCAACUUCAGACACAUCAGAAGUCCCACUGAAAGAAGGCAGCCCUAUCCAUAAAACCACGACAUCUUUGUUCCAUUGCAGUGCUUCUGCCCUCAUCCAGUCUCCUCUGGCCUCCUGCUAUGUAUUUACAGCAGCAGCACACGACGUCUUACGAACCAUAAACUCCUCUGAAACCUGGAAAGCUCUCAAGGCAGAAAGCAGUUUUUUCCAUGCAGAGUGUCUCUCUCCCUGGCUUGGCCUCGUGCUGCUUGGACCUGAGCUUAUCCUAACUCUUCUGCAGCACAGCAGUUUGCUGAAAAGGUUCUCUAAGAAACAGCAUUUGUUUGUGGGGUGUUGAGGAAAGACUGGAUGAGCUUUGGCACCACGAACCACUGAAACUUUUCCAAGAGGUGCUGCGUCCACAGUGGGAUGGGGAACACGUAUGUCCCCAAAGUAGAAGUGGUGUGAGACGGAAGCUUGAACCAAACAAAACUGAAAAAAAAGUCCCUUCCAAAAUACAAUAUAGGACCUGUAAUAUUAACUGGAUGGUAGAGAAUUUGGAUAUUUUUAGUUAAUGAAACCUCUUGCUUGAUGGUAAGAUUGUGUCGUUUAUGUCUGCACAAUAACAGCCCCAAUGCAGAACAUAUGAAUGCCAUAUGGCUGGAACUGUUCCAUUAAUGAUCUGAUGCUUUCAUUGUUCUGAAUUUGAUUUUGUAGCUUUUUGCUUAUAAUGAUUUGAUCGCACCAUUAAAAACCUUCAAUAAC